AUGAGAGACAAGGUGAGGACAGAGGGGACGCCAGAGCAGGUGGCUGUCAAACCCUGCCAUAAGCUUCUAGUCAUGGCCCUGCAGUUCACAACACUCAAGAUGAGGCACAGAUGGAGGGAUCAAUUCUGCUGGGAGAGCCUGGAACAGGCCCAACUGCAGCCACACAGGUAACAAGCCCUAUCUCCAGCUUUGAGAAAGUGCUUAGACACUUGGGAACUGGGGAGCCAGGAGGCACAGAAGAACCUUUUGGCAAACAAGAGAUGCCAAAGAUAAGCCAAUUGUGCCAGUCACCACAGACAAACUGUUUCUAUUCCUUUUCUGGUCUGUGCCUUACCAUAAAAAAAAGGGAAGUAGGCCUGUGCCCAGGCCCUUGAGGACAGCUGCCACAAGAGGACUAACAUGAUCCAUGCCAAAGAAGACAACAGAUGGACUGUAUAAUAAUUAAUGUCCUGAAAUCCAUGUGAAUGAAAAAAUGCAUUGAAGUUUUAUGCUAUAACGUGCUUGUUUCUUUCCAAAUAUAAGAUACUCUAGAUACACUAGAGUUUGGGGCUGGUCUCUUAGAAAGAAAAAGGCCAAUGGGUGUUAAGAGUAUUUGGUGUCUGCUUUCUCUAUCCCUCUCCUCUACAAAUACCCAUGAUAAUCAUCUGGAUAGAAAUGACUUGUAAUGAGAAGAGCUGAUGGAGAAACAUCCAGAGGAUUGGAAUGAAUCAAUCUGGAGAUAUCUGCUAAACAGUAAAAAAGGCAGCAAAACUCAGGUCAAAUACAAUGGAAGAUAUUUUCACCAAAUUAUUAAAGUAUACUGCCUUCCUUUUUGUUAGCAAAUGGUAAAUACAAACAUACAAAAUGAGAGUCACGAUCCAUUCUAUGGAGUGAUUUUGUUCAAAUGUCUUCAAGAGAAUGUGCUCUGUUGGGAUUGGUUUGGCUGUCUGCUGUGUCAAAGUAAAAUGUGCCAAUGUAACAAAAUAUCUGUUAGAGCAACAAUCCACUAUAGAUGGAGUCCAGACAAAGGGUGGUUCAGACUGCUAAGGUCCAUCAGAGCCAAACUGUGGUGUCAAGACACUCAACUGGAGCCAAGGUUUCUAUUUAACUCCUGCUCAUCUCCUAUUUUCCCUCAACCACAAUGCAGGAAGGGGGCAACAAACACAUCUUCCCCAAACUUUAGAGAUGAAGGAAAGUUUUGCUCUCUUCUUAGUCCUCUGGUCCCAAGCUCCUAGGAGCCAUUUUCAGAACUGGCCUAAGUUGGCACACUGCUUCAUCCUCCUGACCCCAUCCCCCUUUCAAGUGGAGAGAGAUAUAAACCCAGGUGUGGAGGUAGAAGGAAGAAAAGGUUUCCACAAAUGGCCAGGAUACCAAAAGUGAUUUCUCAUAACUACCCAGAGCCAUCAAAUGGAAAAAUGGAGAACAUUUCUAGUUCUGUUCCUUUUCUGUGCCUCCUAGUUGCUAUGCUGGCUACCUGAAAACAAAGAUUUCAACACACACACACACACACACACACACACAGCUCGCCUCUGUUUAGUCCAGGAACCUGGUCAGAGCACCAGGCCAGGAAGGGCAGGGAUUGUUCACUGGUUUCAUUUCCCUUCCUGAUUUUCACACACUGGUUGGACAGGUUGGGGCUAAAGACAAUGGGAGGAACUAUUUCCAUUUUACACAAAUAUUUCCCCGCCCUCCCUUUCACUCCAGUCCAAUACAUAUUUUAAAAGCAGUGCAAGAAUCCAAUGAGGUUUAGUAAUAAAUACUACAAACAACCAUAUACUUCAGGGUUAGGGGGCCACAGUCACCUUCUGAGUCUGUUUAAGUCACCACACCUGAAUACACAGACAGGGCAAGUCUCCUAAUCCCAAACCCCACACUUCAUUCCCAAAUAUGGGGCUCCAACUUGAAACACAGGCUUCGGAUCUGGUUUCAUUAUCUCCAUCAAAGUCUAGCAGUUCCCACCCCAAACACACACACACAUUCCCAAUUCUUUCUCAAAAUAAUCUCCAUGUGAAUGGGUGGGACUCAAAAGGGUAAGGUGGGGCUGACAGCCAAAGUCUCCUUCCUUCUCAGAAAAAGAACCGCCCAGAUAGGCAGAUAUUUUCUACAAACACCUGGAGGAGAAAGGUGGCAAGGGCAGGAGAGGAGCUUCGAACUGAUCUCAUCUUGGAUUUUCUCUAAUGUUGCUGCUGCCCUAAAUACUGCCAUAGAAGAGUCCUUCCUCAGCACCAGGACAGUCUUUCCUGCCAGGGUAGUCAAAUUAAGUUCUACUGCUAAAACUAGCCUAACUUGUAGGGCUGUUGACCACCUUUUCCCAAAUACUAGAAGCAGGUCCUACCCACAGAAUCCUGAGAACAGGCACAUGUCUCCCACUCUACCCUCAAGGCAAAGGAAGACUGCUCAUUCAGUUUUUCCGGGAUGUCACUGCCCAGGUUGGCUAAGACAUUUCACAAAGCCUUGAAAGUGCGUUUCAAUUGAGCCUGCAUAAUAGCAGCCUGUCAAGUCACUGAAACUAGCAGCUUCCCUUUGAAUUCUGGGAAAGCAGGUAAAUGGAUGAUUUUUUUUAGGAAAGAUAGACACAGGGCAGGGCAGUAACCUGAAGGACUUACUCUCUACAAAGAGCAAACAGCAAGAGGCUGCAAACAUAUUAAGGCUAAUCCUGGUCAAGAGACUGAUAAUGUUUAGUGAAGAGAUCAACAUAGCAUGUUCUUGAGGGCUACAUUCUAACCUGAGUAGGUAUCUAUACCAAGCACUAGGAGUCAACCCAUCUAGUUCUAUUUUCUCUAUCAUAUAUCAUUGGAGAGGUUCAUCUAUGCCCAAGCAGAAAGCAAGAAGCAACUUGGGAAAUGGUCAAGUCUCAUCCAGAAAAAUGAGGCAAAAGGUUUCUGUUGUGAUAAGAAUCCUCUCCUCCCCCAGAAACUAGUACCAGGAGGAACUGGCCAGAGUUAGUGUUAAUCAUUCACCCUAGCACUUAAAAGGCCAUUUUCAAAGGGUUGGGCAGAACUGGUCCUAGGCUUUUCCUGUCCUCUAGAGCAAGUCAACUGUAUCACCUAGACAGCCAUCAUCAGGUAAGGAUCUGGGCUAUCCCUAGGGGCAGGUGAGCUGGGGAAAAUCCUACUAUACAGGGUCCUCCCUUCACCUCUAAUAUUUUAAUACAGGAUUGAUUUGUUGAAAAUGAACAUCAAGGGGCCAGCUAGGUGGCUCAAUUGAUAGAGAAACAGACUUGGAGACUGGAGGUCCUGGAUUCAAAUUUGAUCUCAAACACUUCCUAGCAGUAUGACCCUGGGCAAUCCCUAUUGCCUAGCCGGUUAAAAAAUCCCUGGGCAAUCCCUAUUGCCUAGCCGGUUAAAAAAACAAACAAACAAGAACAUUAAAGACAACCAUGGAAAGGGAAUGAUCAAGAUGUCAUAAAAGGGUAGCAUGUAACCUGAGUGGUGAAUGUGGAAGGUUGGAAGUUGUUGCCAGGCAGCCAAGUCCCAUCUUUCCUUGUUGCCUUGAUCACAAUGCGGAAGAAGUAGUUAUAUAAGUAUCUGGUUCUCCUUUCUAGCACUGACCAGUGCUUUUGUCCUCUGCCUCUUCAGGUCUCAGAACAGCUCCAGCUACCUUAUUUAUGCAGUGGCUUGGGGUAUAAACUAACCACUCCAAUUUGCCAUAUUGUAAGGUUAAUUCUAGUGGAGGGGACAGAGUACACAGUGACAACAGAAUCAGGUGACAAUUACUCCAUUUUCACUCACAAAAUCAGCUAGUUUUCCAAGUCACAUUGCGGUGGCUACCCCUCCCAAAGAGCUCCAUGGUAAAUGGAAUCUAUAAUAGAAGACUUUAUAAUGGAACUGCAAAAUAUCUCCAGAAAAAAGCUAUUAAAUGAUCCCUGGACCUAUGGGCCCCUGGUGGUGAUGUUAUUGUUUUAUACCACAAUAAUUAGUCUCAUCCUCUUUGCUCUUUUUUUCAACUGCUGCCAGUGUACGAAUUCCCGGCCUCAUUCUAACAGAUCCACCUCCACCUCAGAAAGUAUAAGCUUAAGUUUGGACCACCUACCCAUGCAGCAGUCUGUGAGCUCCCCACCCAACAGGGAAGGUUAAAUUCAAAGACUUCACCAGAGAUAUAGAAGAACAUGAGGAUGAAGAAAGAGAAGAACCACCACUGGAAAAAUAACACUUGGAAAACUCCUCUAGUGUUGCCAGCCAGACUUGUGAUGUUCCUCCUAUAGAUUCCCACGAGCGUCACUCAGAUACAGGGUUAAGACCCUUCAAGAGUCGCUCAGAUACACGGUUAAGACGAUAAGGUCCUCACUUCCAGUAGCCCAAAACUCAAUUAAGGGCUGAAAGUCCAGUCAUUUCCUCCUUCCCCCCAAGUGCUUCAAUUUCUCAAAUGGAAACUAAAUAGUGUUCAUUACAAUAAUAUCAAAUAAAAACCCCAUCAUGAAUAA